rnacentral:rRNA from 1 species
AUUGAACGCUGGCGGCAUGCCUUACACAUGCAAGUCGAACGGCAGCACGGACUUCGGUCUGGUGGCGAGUGGCGAACGGGUGAGUAAUGUAUCGGAACGUACCUUUCAGUGGGGGAUAACGUAGCGAAAGUUACGCUAAUACCGCGUAUUCUGUGAGCAGGAAAGCAGGGGAUCGAAAGACCUUGCGCUGAUUGAGCGGCCGAUAUCAGAUUAGCUAGUUGGUGGGGUAAAGGCCUACCAAGGCGACGAUCUGUAGCGGGUCUGAGAGGAUGAUCCGCCACACUGGAACUGAGACACGGUCCAGACUCCUACGGGAGGCAGCAGUGGGGAAUUUUGGACAAUGGGGGCAACCCUGAUCCAGCCAUGCCGCGUGAGUGAAGAAGGCCUUCGGGUUGUAAAGCUCUUUCGGCCGGGAAGAAAUCGCAUAGGCUAAUACCCUGUGCGGAUGACGGUACCGGAAUAAGAAGCACCGGCUAACUACGUG